rnacentral:rRNA from 1 species
UUCGUAGGCGGUGUGGCAAGUCGGGAGUGAAAUCUCUGGGCUCAACCCAGAGUCUGCUUCCGAAACUGCUGUGCUUGAGUGUGGGAGAGGCGCGCGGAAUUGCAGGUGUAGCGGUGAAAUGCGUAGAUAUCUGCAGGAACACCCGUGGCGAAAGCGGCGCGCUGGACCACUACUGACGCUGAGGAACAAAGCUAGGGAGCAAACA